UCAACUUCACCUGAGGAACUGGCCAG
rnacentral:piRNA from 1 species